GUGCCAGCAGCCGCGGUCAUACCGGCAGCCCGAGUGAUGGCCGAUCUUAUUGGGCCUAAAGCGUCCGUAGCUGGGUCUGCAAGUCCGUCGGGAAAUCCACUCGCUCAACGAGUGGCCGUCCGGUGGAAACUGCACACCUUGGGACCGGAAGGCUUGAAGGGUACGGCCGGGGUAGGAGUGAAAUCCUAUAAUCCCGCACGGACCACCGAUGGCGAAAGCACUUCGAGAAAACGGAUCCGACAGUGAGGGACGAAAGCUAGGAUCGCGAACCGGAUUAGAAACCCUAGUAGUCC
rnacentral:rRNA from 1 species